UCAUCUCCCUUAAAUUAACUAAUGUAUCUCUCCUUAUAUACAAGUUAUCUUAGUUAGAUUACUGAACCAAAAAUAAGAAAAAUAUAGGAGCAGUCAUAAAAGGCCGAGAAAGAGAAGAUGAGAAAUAAGAAAGAAAUUAAAAAAAGAGGAGAAAGAGUCGUGAAAAGAGGAAGACAAGAGAAGAGAGGACAAGCCGUGAGUAAGAGAGUGAGAGAGAGGAGGAGAUUAAUGAUAAAGAAAAAAAAGCAGAGAGAGCACAUAAACAAGAGGAAGGAGAACAAGUGUCCGGAAAUCAGAAUGGAUGACGUUGCAGAGAAAGAAUAGAUCAUCACCAUCGCAAAGGAGAAUAUUGAGAAAGGUAUAUCUGUUUGAGGAAGUAAGGAAAAGAGGAAUA
rnacentral:lncRNA from 1 species